rnacentral:rRNA from 1 species
GUUCGGAUUGCAGGCUGCAACCCGCCUGUAUGAAGUUGGAAUCGCUAGUAAUCGCGGAUCAGCAUGCCGCGGUGAAUACGUUCCCGGGCCUUGUACACACCGCCCGUCACACCAUGAGAGUCGGGAACACCCGAAGUCCGUAGCCUAACUUAUCUGAGAGGGCGCGGCCGAAGGUGGGUUCGAUAAUUGGGGUGAAGUCGUAACAAGGUAAC